GGAGCACUGGGUCAGGAAUGACUUCCUUCUGCUUGGGUGUGUGUGCAUCAGCUCUGCUCUCUGUGCCAAAGUUGAGAUCAUCCUCAUGCCAGAAAGAGGAACCUGGUGGGCGGUCCAGUCAGGACAAGGCUUAUCAACAGAAAAAAGUGGAAAAGCCGGCCUGGAGAAGCAGAGGAGGGAUCAACAGGCUUCAUAGUGUGGCUUCUGACAAGUGGCCAGAGUCCCAGGACACCGGCACUGGAGUGGACCAUGGAGCAGACCUCUGCCUCCUGAGUAAAGAUGCCGUCGAGCGUAAUGUUGGCUGGAAGAAAUGGGAGCAGCUCUCAGUGAAGUGACUUACUCAGCAUACACACGGAAUUAACUGAGAUUAGAAUUCUGAAUUAUUACCUCUGGGUCGAGAGCAUCCCCCUCCUUUUCUACCUGCCCACGUGUGUCACCUUGAAGAUGAGAUGGAUUCCAGCCCCAAGAGUCAUGGGAAAUGGAGCAUAAAGGAUCUGAAGAGGAAGAACAAGGCAGUAUUCAGGAUUCAAUUCCAGAACGUCUGCCCCUUCGAGACCGCAGUUGGCCACACUUGCUCAGCUUGCUUGCCCAUGUCAUCCAGCUUCCCUGGCCCUGAAGAAAGCCUCCAUUCACUCCGUGUGCACCUGCACCCAGCCAACGGUGGGAGGCUGCCGUCUGCACCCAAAUCCAUUGCUCAAUAUUCUUCUCCUUGGCGUUCUCAGUGACACCUCACUCUGUCAAAGCCCACAUGGCCUUACCGUCCGUCUGGGCGUCUUGAUAGUAAAUACACUUUU